rnacentral:rRNA from 1 species
ACUCCUACGGAGGCAGCAGUAGGAAUUUUCCGCAAUGGACGAAAGUCAUGACGGAGCAAUGCCGCGUGAGUGAUGAAGGUUUUCGAAUUGUUAAAGCUCUGUUGUAAGGGAAGAAUAGCAAGAAUAGGAAAUGAUUCUUGUCUGACGGUACCUUACCAGAAAGCCACGGCUAACUACGUGCCAGCAGCCGCGGUAAUACGUAGGUGGCAAGCGUUAUCCGGAAUUAUUGGCGUAAAGCGCAUGUAGGCGGCUUUUAAGUCUGAUGUGAAAGCCA